AGCUAGUUGGUAGGGUAACGGCCUACCAAGGCAACGACGGGUAGGGGGCCUGAGAGGGUGAUCCCCCACAUUGGCACUGACACACGGGCCAAACUCCUACGGGAGGCAGCAGUGAGGAAUAUUGCGCAAUGAGCGAAAGCUAGACGCAGCAACGCCGCGUGGACGAUGAAGGCCUUCGGGCCGUAAAGUCCUUUUCAGGGGGACGAGUGAGGACGGUACUCCUGGAAUAAGUCACGGCUAACUACGUGCCAGCAGCCGCGGUAAAACGUAGGUGGCGAGCGUUAUCCGGAUUCACUGGGCGUAAAGCGCCUGCAGGCGGUCUCGUAAGUGGGAUGUGAAAUCUCUUGGCUCAACUGGGAGGGGCCAUUCCAUACUGCGGGACUUGAGGGCAGAAGAGGGAAGCGGAAUUCCCGGUGUAGUGGUGAAAUGCGUAGAUAUCGGGAGGAACACCAGUGGCGAAGGCGGCUUCCUGGCCUGCUCCUGACGCUAAGAGGCGAAAGCUAGGGGAGCGAACGGGAUUAGAAACCCCGGUAGUCCUAGCCGUAAACGAUGGAUACUGGGUGUCGGCGGUCCUAACCCCGUCGGUGCCGAAGCUAACGCGUUAAGUAUCCCGCCUGGGGACUACGGCCGCAAGGUUAAAACUCAAAGGAAUUGACGGGACCCCGCACAAGCAGCGGAGCGUGUGGUUUAAUUCGAUCUACACGAAGAACCUUACCCAGGUUUGACAUGCAAGUAGUAGUGAAGCGAAAGUGGAACGACCCGCAAGGGAGCUUGCACAGGUGCUGCAUGGCUGUCGUCAGCUCGUGCCGUGAGGUGUUGGGUUAAGUCCCCUAACGAGCGCAACCCUCGCCGUCAGUUAUACGUGUCUGGCGGGACUGCCGGCCUAAAGUCGGAGGAAGGUGGGGAUGAUGUCAAGUCAGCAUGGCCCUUUAUAUCUGGGGCUACACACACGCUACAAUGGCCAGUACAAUGGGUCGCCAACCCGCGAGGGGGAGCCAAUCCUAAAAAGCUGGUCUCAGUUCGGAUUGCAGGCUGCAACCCGCCUGCAUGAAGUCGGAGUUGCUAGUAAACGCAGGUCAGCCAUACUGCGUUGAAUACGUUCCCGGGGUUUGUACACACCGCCCGUCACGUCAUGGGAGCUGGUAACACCUGAAGCCGGUGCGCUAACCGCAAGGAGGCAGCCGUCGAGGGUGGGACUGGUGACUGGGACGAAGUCGUAACAAGGUAGGUGUAGCGGAAGCUGCGCCUG
rnacentral:rRNA from 1 species